GUAGAGCACUGUUUCGGCUAGGGGGUCAUCCCGACUUACCAACCCGAUGCAAACUACGAAUACCGAAGAAUGUUAUCACGGGAGACACACGGCGGGUGCUAACGUCCGUCGUGAAGAGGGAAACAACCCAGACCGCCAGCUAAGGUCCCAAAGUCAUGGUUAAGUGGGAAACGAUGUGGGAAGGCACAGACAGCCAGGAUGUUGGCUUAGAAGCAGCCAUCAUUUAAAGAAAGCGUAAUAGCUCACUGGUCGAGUCGGCCUGCGCGGAAGAUGUAACGGGGCUAAACCAUGCACCGAAGCUGCGGCAGCGACACUAUGUGUUGUUGGGUAGGGGAGCG
rnacentral:rRNA from 1 species